rnacentral:misc_RNA from 1 species
UGGCUCCCGCAUCGAUGAAGAACGCAGCGAAAUGCGAUACGUAAUGUGAAUUGCAGAAUUCAGUGAAUCAUCGAAUCUUUGAACGCACCUUGCGCCCCUUGGUAUUCCGAAGGGCAUGUCUGUUUGAGUGUCGUGAAACUCUCAACCCCCCUAUUUUGUAAUGAGAUGGGUGUCCGGGUUGGAUGUGGCCGUUGUCGGACCCGCAAGGGAUCGGCUCAGCUGAAAUACAUUAGCGCGUCUGCUUUAAACUGCAGCGGCUUGACUUGGCGUAAUAAUCCUAUUCGCUGAGGACGCUGCAAUCUAUGUUUAAAUACGAGCGCUCCUAAUGCUUCGACUUUGUCGAAACUUGACAUUUUUGACCUCAGAUCAGGCAGGGCUACCCGCUGA